rnacentral:lncRNA from 1 species
GAACAGUCGGAGCUCUUCUAAACGUUCGUUUGCGCUCAAAUUUGACAGGCAGGCUCAGUUUAACGUACUGAGCAAGAAUAUAUCUUAAGUUCUCAGUUUCGACUCCGUUUGGUCACCGAAAGCUGUGUCAAGCUGUAAUCUUUAGCAGAUAGCAGUUCGAUUUUAUUUCCUACCUUCUGAGUGUUAGAAUGAAAUGAAACUUUAAAUCUAGUCUCAUAAAAAUAUUUCUCACAUAUCCUCCAGUUUUCAUAAUUUUCUGACACUGUGCAUUUUCUAUUAAUUUAUCUGUCCCGUUUCACACAGAAAAUUCUAAAUCUUCUGUUUCGUUCUGAUUUCAGCACAGGUUAUUCCCAAACCUAUAUUUCACUUCUCUAAAUCCAAUAAUAGUAUCUCAUACUAUUUUUAUUUAUUUUCACUUUUAUAUUUAAAAUCCGGUAUGUUACAUUCCACAGCAAUCUCACCGGAGCCAUUUAAAUGUACACUGUAACUUCAUAGUUUUAGAAGUCCGGUACCUUACAUCCUCCCCUCCUUAAUAAGAGUUUCGUCCUCGAAACUCAAAUAAUUCCAACUCCAAUUCAUACCCCAAUUCCAUUGUCGAGUAACAAAGGGUACAAUGCACUUUUGGUGCAUUUGACCUCUUCGGCCUUUCCGAAGCGCUCCCACUCAACAAUUAGUCGAUCCUGAGCGAAGUCCAACUCUCGUUUUUCGAGAAUUCACUUCCUUACUCCAACCCCUCCACAGAGUUAUCGGCUAAACCGAUCACGUCGGCUUUCACAGGUGGACCAACGGUCGUAAAUACUACGUAGGCCUACAGCCUAAACCUGUCACAACUACGCAUAGCAUCUCUCGCUCGCAUCGUAGACCCAAUCCUCAUUUUCGGACGAAAUUCUCACUUGAAAAUUCGCACACACUCCAAACAGGAGCAACCAAAACCCCAAACCACAUCAAGUCCUCGGGUUGGGUCACUACACACUCUGUGUAUCCUCGAUCUCAUGAUCUAACAUGCGGCAUUCCGCGUACUCGGGUCCAAGCUCGGACUACCGUCCUGACCAACUCUCUGCCCUACCUGUAGGUAUCGGGCUGCUGUCACUCACAGCUGAUUGCGCCUGCCCAAUGGGCCUAGGCUCUACAGUCCACAAAUGGUCCAGGCACGGGUCGUCCCCAAGCACUACCUGCCAACGUCGCCCUACACGACAUGCUCUACCGAGCUACAUAGUCUAUCGGCUUCUGAGCAUCUAGUGCAAGCCACCUGCCCCACGAGUGAUCCAUGUCCCGCUUCACACUUAGCAAGGCUGAAGUGCUACUACAAACUCACUCUCGGCUGAAUCGAAACCGCACUUCACGAGUAGCUACGCUUGAGCGUUCCACGCCCUUCUACAGCGUCUCACACGAAGUCUAGCAUCAGGCAACUUGCCUAUGCACGCCGACUACACGAGCACGACUCGCCCACCUCAACUCGAGGGGCUACUAGGUCAACAGGCCCGCGUUCGGCAACUACACGGCUACUCUCUCAACAGUGAUUCUACUUUCACUGUCCGAUCUACCGGAACGCAUUCUCAACUUCGUGGCUCAACUCUCGCAAUCUCUAGUUCACUGUCUCGAGAGUCCUUUCACCACUUCAUCUCUACCACGAGCCUCAUUUCCUAUCCGAGAAUCAUCACUAGCCAUUUGCUAGUACUACUUGGCUCUCUGUUCGAUAGAAUUAGAAAAAGUACUCAUUGUGUAAGGAAGUGAAUUCUCGAAAUACGAAAAUUGUACUUCAUCCAGGAUCGACUAAUUGUCGAAAGUAUACCCUUUGUGGGAGUUGAGAAUGUCCCAAAUACAAAAAGUGCUUUGAAGUUGAGUCCGCGAGAGCAAAUGAGGCAAACUGCGUCAUUGGGCUGAUGUUGCUCUCGGGGACCGGUCUCUGCAGGUGAGAGACCGGUUCCACUGGCUGGUUGUAGCGGGGUUGCAUGAUGCAACCGGUCCCUGGUAGGGAGGGACCGGUUCCCGAACGCGGUCCGAGCGAGAGAUGCCAAAAAUUGGCUAAGUCCGAAAAAUCGAGCUCUCGGGGACCGGUCUCUCAGGCAAGGACCGGUCUCCCGGGGAGAGACCGGUUCCCGAACGCGUGCGCCCUAGGGAAGCUCUCGGGGACCCGUCCCAGGUCGGGGAGACCGGUCCCUCCGCGCGAAAACUGCCCAGUAAGGGCUGUGCAAUAGAUGGAAAGUUGAGGGGCUUUUAUGCAAAAUGGCCUUUAUUUGAGUGGGCUGAGCCCUCUCUCUCCCUCACACUCUCUCAUUUCAUUCUCUCUCUCUCAUUUCUCUCUUGCUCCCUCUCUCUCUCUAGAGAUAACAAAGAA